CUCCUCCAUUUAAGGUAUAUAAACGCAUCCUGUCUAGCUUUAUUAUGUGCUCAGAUUCGUCAGAGCAGCGCCCAAGGUAAAACGAUGUUCUCAGCAGUCUCCUUCUUGCUACUCGCCACGUUAAUUGGAACGGCGUCCAGUCAGUAUCCAUGGGGACAAUCGGUAUGCAGACUGCCUGCCGAUCCCGGGAAUUGCAAGGCAUAUAUGCCGAUGUACUUCUUUAACGCAUACACUUGCACAUGCGAAAUAUUUAUCUACGGCGGUUGUGGCGGAAACGGAAACAGAUUCGAUACGUUUGAAGAGUGCAUGACCCGCUGCGAGCGCACGUGUUAUUACAAAUAGUAUGCAACCACAGUAUCGUUGACAAUAUUUGAUAAUACAGAUUAACUUCUUCAAAUGAUUUUCUGUGCAAACUACUUGUCCCAUUGACAAAUAUUUACAAUUACUACAUUUAAAUAUUUGGCUUUUAUAAAACCGUACCCUAUGUGAUAAUCAUUCAAUAUAUAUAGACU